rnacentral:lncRNA from 1 species
UUGGUUAGUUUGUAUAAUAGACAAAGAACACGUUAGAUAAACUUGCAGAAGAUAAGGUGCAGCAGAUAACCUAGGGUGGCUUGGUAGAAGUUAAAAUGAACUAGACUAGUAUUGAUUGCUCCCAGUUUGGUAGGGAGGCUGGUAGGGGCUGGCAAGGGGCAAAGCUUGGCAUUGACCAGAGAAAGAAAAGUUCAGCUAUUUAAAUUCAUGUCCCACCCCUUAACUGACUUCCCAAGGCUUUAACACCGUAAGAAAGAAAAAGAGAGCCGAUUGAUAGUGAGGUAAGAAGAACUCGGCUAGAGCAGGAAAAAGAAGUGAACAACAAUCAAGUGCAACCUCUAAGCUACUAAGGUAAUCUUUUCCAUCUUCUUUCUAUUCCAUUUCGUGCCAUUGGUGCUCUGUUUUGGCCGAAUGGCCUUGAAUAGACAUAAGGGGCAGUUGUGCUAAUUUUUAUGCUAUGUGUACUGUUGUGAUUUGGAACUGUAAUGUAUCACAUUAUGUUUGUUAUUAUUUAAGUCAUAAGGCUGGGAUCACUAAGCUAAGAAUAAAUGUAUUGUAUGGGUAGAUAUGAACUGCACCCCAAUUGUUUGGUGAAAUGUCAGUUAAUACAUGGUUGGAGUCAACAAUUUUGGAAAAAGAGUGCAGUCAAGUCUAGUUCUAUGCUAAUAAUAUAUAUUGAAUUCCUAAAGAUGCAAAGAUGCUAAGAUAGCAGUUUUGCAUGAACAUAAGAUGUUUAUAACUGAUUGUAUACCAGUCCAUAUAUGAUCUAAGCAUUUAACUAUGACUAAGCCAUUGUUUUAAGGAUUUUGCAUGCCAGACUAAAGGUUGAGAAUGACUGAUUUGGUAUAAGCUAUUCUAUGUCAUCCAAACAUAUACUAUGCAUAAAAAAGAGAUAAUAUAAGCUUCUAUGUUGCACACUUAUGCUACCUUUGUAAGCAUGUUGGUGAACCAUGUUUGUUUUGAAGUUAAAUACCAAAGAAGGCUGUGUUGGCCUAAAACAUAAAGACCAUGACUUAGAUGCUUUAAAACAUGAAAAGUUGGUAGAUAGAAGGUACAUGUGUGAGCAAGGCAUAUAUAUUAGUGCUUGCUACCAUUUGGUGUAAAAGCCUUGCCGAAAAUGCUUGUCUAAAACUGUUAGAAUGGCAAAAACAGUAUGGCUGGGAAGGAAGUACAAAAUGGUGGUUAAACUCUAACAUAAAAUGUAACUAUGCUUCAAGUACACUCUAUGCAUAUGUAUAACAUGUAUUUGUGUAACACUUGAGCAAAACAAAGUGAAAAAGGGACUGCUAUAUGAUUUUCUUGAGUUGAUAUGUAAACUGUUAUAGAUCUAGCUAAAUGACAUGCUAUGUUGCUACCAUGACUGACUAUUAACAUGAUAGGUGUUGAUAUAUUAAGUUAUUGUGUUAAAAAUUCACUACUAUGAUAUGGCUAUGCUAAGAUGAACUAAACUUAGACAUAAGGAGAUAGGUGGGCUGUGGAGUAAUAAGGAGGUCAUAUUGGAUUGUUAAUAUAAACAAAUGGCAGAUAAUUUGCUAACAUAAAACUAUGUACACAACCUGCUUGAUAAAAGUCCCAAAUGGACUCUAUAUUACAUGUAUUGAGGAUUAAAAUGAUUUAGCAUGAUAAUUGCAAGCAAGAGCAUUUGGACUAAAAUAGUGGUUGAAAGUUUUGUUAUUAAAGCAACUUUAGGUACUGUUUUAGGUAUCAUGAUGGAGAUUUUAUAGAUACUUCAAUAAGUCAUGUGUAACAUAUCUAAAAAAAUGGUUGUAAACAAACAUGUGAAUUAAAAGUAAGAAGUUGGAGAACUAGGUGAUUUGGUCACAAAGCUGCUGCCAGUAGCAGCAGCAGUUGGUGUAGGGCCAGAGCUCUUUUCGAGCUCUCAGUUGGCAAGCUAGUAAAUUAAAUGUCAUCUUGAAUUGGCAAAUUCUUUGGGUUUGUAUAGAUUAUGAUAUCUUGUAAGCUAGCCUAGCAAAGGAAAUCUUGGUAAAGCACAAAACAAAUUCUAAACAAAACCAACUGUUAAAAAGUUAGCAUGUUCAACCCCUUUGCACACUGAUUUGAGUCAGACUAUGAAGAACUCAUAAGAAAUUAAUACUUCAUAUGUCAAAGCCAAAAGUGGCUGUCAACAUGAUGAAAGAUAGGGGACUAUUGGAGUACUAAAACAAACUGCUAGACACAGUUAGCCCUUAAUUACACUAUAGUAUAGUGAAGUUUUGAACCUUAGCACAUGAUAGUUUUGGCUAAAUUUGGUAGUAAGAAUCCUAGCUUAAUCAUUCCCUUGGUCCACUGUGUUGAGUAAUGGCUGAACCAGAGAGUCAAGUUUAAUAUCAUUUGAGAAGCCAAGGACUGCUAUAAUAAGGUAGCAAUGAGUAGUAAAUAUAGCAGUAGUACCAACCUUAAUCAAAUAGCAGCUGUCAUUGGCAACAGAAAUCAAGUAAUUGCAGUGCCAUAUUGACAACUAAGUAACCUUGCUGGCUUUCAUUUUUAUUGUGCUUUGAGUAAGUUAAGAAGUAGCAAGGUUUGAAGAUUAUCAUAUUGAGUUGUCAUUCAAGUAUAGUAACUGUUACCAAUAAACAAUAAGCAGUUGGUCUUCUCUUAACAGACCAAUAUGGUAAAACUACAAGAUUCCAGCUGUGAAUUAACUUGGGACAUAAUCAAAGGGGAGUCAUGGAGCUGCUAGGACAGUUUGGAAGCUAUAAUCUAAACAAGGCCAAAAGGAAGGGGGGCUACUACCUAUGAACAACAACAGUUGAUGGCAGGUUACUGCUAAUAUACUCUAUGUAACCACUUUGGUUGAGAAUUGAAAUCUUCAAGAAACUAAUCAUCAUGUGUAACUUGAGUAUGUGUGCUGAAAACAUAUAUACUACAUUUACAAGUUGAGAAUAAAAAUGUGAUAAAGAGGGAAGCAUAGGGCUGCUAACAGUUAGUUGCAAUAGGUAACCUCAACUAACUGCUAAUGCAGUGUUGAGCUUAUUAGACCUAGUUGAAGCUACAAGAGGGUGAACUUAUAUGAAUUAGAUAUAAUUCAAGUGUUGGAAUGAACUGAAGUGGCUAGAAAUAGUAAAUGUAAUUUGAUUUUUAAUACUUGUGGUAGGCAUGUUGAACCCCAUCAAAGUGAAAAAUGACUAGUGUGAAAGUAUGGAUGAGAUAUUUAAAAAAUGUAUCAAAUAUAGGAAAUCUAACCAUGAUCACUAAAAUUACAUGAUAUAUGAUUUGACUAUGUGGCUAACAUGCUUUAUUAAUGCAAAUAAUAAUAAUUUAAUUCCUAUUAUUUGAUUGUAAGUAUGUCUAACCCAUUAAAGAGAAGAUUGACUAAUACGUAAACAUGGAUGAGAUAUUUGAAAAUUGUAUGAAAUUAAGGAAUCUAACUACAAACUUGACCACUGAAUUAUGUGAUGUGUGAAUCUCCACAAACUAUGUGACUUGGCUAUUUGGCUAAUAGGCUUGUAAAUGCAAAUAAAUUGUGUAGGCUCUGUGAGAACAUAUUAAGCUAAAUCCUAUCAAUAGUCUACAAACAAGGCAAGUUUCUAACUCUUACUCUUUAUUGAGAAAUUAUUCUGCAGUGGACAUGUUCUUUAAUUUCUGAACUUUCUGUCCUUAUUUAUGAAUAAUAUAAGGUUAAAUAGCCUUUUUAUUCCAAUCAGCUUCAAAAAAAUAGAAUACCAACUUUUCUAUCUUGAAUGAGUUUACAUUGAAAGUAUGUCAAUACCAUUACUUCGGUUAGACAAUCGUUGAGAUAUAUUGAUAUUAUUCAUGAAGUUAUCAGUUAAUGCUUUCCAAACCAUUUUGUUGUAUGGAUUCUUAUAUAAUGCUGUGAACGAACAACCCUUUUAUAGUGGAAUAUUGUACCGGACAUAUGAUUCCGAAGGACAUGUAAAGUGUCAUUAGACUCUUAUGUUGUGCACAAUAUAGGGUACUUAGGCGGAUCCCCUAAAGUACGACUCUAUGAAAUAAAACAAAUUUUAUAAAUUGUAUAUAUCCAUGGAGUUUAGUAUUAUUACUAUCAAUUCUAGUAAAGAGUUCACUGGUCAUUUGACCUUACAGCAUGCUAAAGUCUAAUUUUUCAGACUCAACACUUUUAAAGAAUUAUCUUGUUCAGUAUUUAUUAUUGAAUCCUCAUUGAUAUAAUAUUUCUGUUCCAUUAUAUUUAGCUGCUUAUUUCCUUGCUGAGCAAGCUUGUUGCUCACCCUUGCGUUAAAUAUAAUGUUUUCAGUUAUGAAUGAAGUUGUUGGUCCAUUGGUAAAGACAAAGGAAAAGGCAAAGUUGUGG